GAUGAAGAACGUAGCGAAAUGCGAUAAUUAAUGUGAAUUGCAGAAUUCCGUGAAUCAUCGAGUCUUUGAACGCACAUUGCGCCUCAUGGCAUUCCGUGAGGCAUGCCCAUCUCAGCGUUAGAAAAUAUUCUCAAAUUUUAGUUUUGUGCUAAAAUUUGGAUCAUGUCAAAGAAGCUAUUACUAUUAUUGUGAUUGCUCUUUGGAAAUUGAUAGGUCUUUGAGUUGCUACUCAUAGAACGUGAUGAAUCUUUCUUCGUUCUAUUGUAAUUCACUCUGGUAGUCCUAAAACUUGUAUGCCUGUGGCAUAUCUUGUAAUUUGACCUGAGAUUGGGUAGGGAUACCCGCUGAACUUAAGCAUAUCAAUAAGCGGAGGA
rnacentral:misc_RNA from 1 species